rnacentral:lncRNA from 1 species
GGGCGGGGGCGGGGCCUGGCGCGUCCGCCGAGCGCGGGGGUUUGUUUAUUUUCGCGGUUGGUAGCGGCGCUGGCGCUGGUUAGAGGUUCGCCGGUGACGUGAGCGCCCGAGUUGGGGGAGAGGACCAGAACCACCUGCUGGAGAAGGGGAGCUACGGGGGCCGGGCAGGGUCCAAACGCCUCACGUAGGCGGCGGCGCCACGGUCUUCGGGGUCACAGGGAAGAGAAGGGCUCUCCUCAAGCGGGUGGAAGGAGGGAGGCCUCCCGAGGGAGUGAGACUCUAGGCCACUCCCCCGCAGCAAGGCAGGAUCACCUGCGACGCGGAGAGCGGUUAGAGGGCCCUGGAGUGGAAAAGGGCAGUGGGACCUGGUAGCUUGGGUUCCCUGCAACUUGGGGUUCGACCUCCAGGCAAUGAAGUAGGGAUGGUCCUGCAAGUCAAGAUUCCAGUAGCAAGAGUGCAUCAGAUCUCUGUCGUAGUGGACUAAUUUUACAGGCGAAGUUAAGUGACUUACCCAAAACCUCACAGCUAAUAAACGGCAGAGCCGGCACCCAGCUGUACUGGCUUCCAAUUCUGUUAGCUUACCAGCGCAUCACAUUAUCUCCAUAAAUCCCCAUGAUUCAACUAAUAUUAGACGCCCCACAGCUGGACCCUGGACACGGUGACUCUGAUUCAAUUAUGCAGAUGACCACAAACCUCUGGGGUUGGCAGAGCCACAAGAAAGAAGGUGCCUGGAUGAAGGAGAGCUACCCACUGACCUGGACACCCAAUUAUGAAAGAUCUCAUACUACAGACUACAAAUGCCAAAUGACCUACUGUGCUCAUACCACCCUUAACCUAGAAAUAAAAUAGAAACAAUUCCUAAAGAAACAGUCUUAAAAAUAACCAGCUAAAAUUUUAUCAACAACAACAAAAAAGUAGUUGGGGUUUCUGCUCAUUAAAUUAGUUUGUAUGGGUAAGCACCACCUAAGUUUCUUGAUUCAUGGCAUGUGUUCUUAAACCAAUUUACUAUCCACUAAAAAUAAAUGGUGAUCAUUAUAUAAAAAGCAGUUGUAUUUCUUGACACUAGCAAUGAACCAUCUGAAAAUGAAAUUAAGAACACAAUUCCACUUACAGUAGCAUCAAAAAGAAUAAAAUAUUUAGAAAUAAAUUAAACCAAAGAAGUGUAAGACAUGUACACUGAAAACUAAAAAACACAGUUAAAAGAAUGGAAAGAUAGCCUAUGUUCAUGGAUUGGAAGACUGAAUAUUGCUCAGAUGGCAGUACUCCCCAAAUUGAUCUACAGAUUCAAUGCAAUUCCUAUCAAAAUUCCAUCUUCCUCUUUGUAGAAAUGGACAACUGGUCCUAAAAUUCAUAUGGAAACUUAAGGGACCCCAAAUAAUGAACAAAUGUUGGAAAAGAAGAACAAAGUUCAUGGGUUCACACUUUGACUUCAAAAUUUACUACAUAAUCAAGACAGUGUGGUAUGGUCUGUCAUAGGACAGACAUAUAGACCAGUGGAAUAAAAUUGAGUCCAGAAAUAAACCUGUGUGGUCAAUUGGUUUUCAACAAAUGUAUGAAGACAAUUUAAUGAGGAAAGAAUAGUUUUUUUCAACAAAUUGUAUUGACACAACUGGAUAUCUGCAUGCAAAAUAAUGAAGUUGGACCCUUAACUCAUACCAUGUACAAAAACUAAUUCAAAAUUGAUCAGAGACCCAAAUGUAAGACUUAAAACUGUAAAGUGCUCUUCUCCUUCCAUCAAAGCUGGUUGGAUGUGAUUUCCGUGUUCAGAUACAAUUUAUGAUACUUGCUUCUUUUGAGCAUGCAUACAUUAGAAGAGCAUUUUUUGAUCAGUAUGUUUACAUGUAGUUCUUACAGCUUUAUAUAUAUGUGAGCUCAGAAACAUAUUUCCAUCUGAAAAAGCACCCCUAAUUUUCUGUCUCCUUACCCUGCUUUACUCUCUCCAUAAGUAAUGUCACUGGACUGUAAGUUCCUUGAGGGAUAGGGCUUUUAGUUUUCAACUCUAUCAGCAAAAAUAUAAAGGUUGAUAGAAAAUAUAAAGCAGGAAAAUGCCUAUAAAUUAAAAGCCUG